rnacentral:rRNA from 1 species
GUGAGGAAUAUUGCGCAAUGGAGGCAACUCUGACGCAGCCAUGCCGCGUGCAGGAAGAAGGCGCUACGCGUUGUAAACUGCUUUUAACCGGGAAGAAACCCCAGGACGUGUCCUGGGUUGACGGUACCGGAGGAAUAAGCACCGGCUAACUUCGUGCCAGCAGCCGCGGUAAUACGAAGGGUGCAAGCGUUAUCCGGAUUCAUUGGGUUUAAAGGGUGCGUAGGCGGAGCGUUAAGUCAGUGGUGAAAUCCUGCAGCUUAACUGUAGACUUGCCAGUGAUACUGGCGCUCUUGAGUGCGCUUGAAGUGGGCGGAAUGUGCCGUGUAGCGGUGAAAUGCUUAGAUAUGGCACAGAACACCAAUUGCGAAGGCAGCUCACUAAGGCGAUACUGACGCUGAGGCACGAAAGCGUGGGGAUCGAACAGGAUUAGAUACCCCUGUAGUCC